GACGAACGCUGGCGGCGUGCCUAACACAUGCAAGUCGAACGAGGUCCAUGAGAGCUUGCUCUCGGAAGACCUAGUGGCGAACGGGUGAGUAACACGUGAGGAAUCUGCCCCGGACUCUGGGAUAACUCGAGGAAACUCGAGCUAAUACCGGAUGCCCUCCUCGGGUCGCAUGGCCUGAUGAGGAGAGUUUUUCGGUCUGGGAGGACCUCGCGGCCUAUCAGCUAGUUGGUGAGGUAACGGCUCACCAAGGCUACGACGGGUAGCUGGUUUGAGAGAAUGAUCAGCCACACUGGGACUGAGACACGGCCCAGACUCCUACGGGAGGCAGCAGUGGGGAACCUUGCGCAAUGGGCGAAAGCCUGACGCAGCAACGCCGCGUGCGGGAUGACGGCCUUCGGGUUGUAAACCGCUUUCAGCAGGGACGAAAAUGACGGUACCUGCAGAAGAAGCUCCGGCUAACUACGUGCCAGCCGCCGCCGUAACAC
rnacentral:rRNA from 1 species